AGCCGCAGCCCCACGCGGCUGGGGGAGAUUUGGCCCCUCGGAAGCAGCCCCGCCGCCGGCUCCUGAUCACCCUGGCGCGGUUCUCCUCUGCCUGGCCUGCCUUCCUCGCGGGCUUGCCGUGGACAGCGGCUCGGAACCCUUCGGGCUUAACCUGGGGUGGUCGCGCUCUGGGCGGGUUGCCCUGAAGGCAGACGUUCGCUGCAGGGAGUGCCUUGACCCUACCCUGCAGGGCUCUUAGAACAGAGGAUUGUCCCUGUCCCAUCAUGAUGGCCUUUGAAUGAAAUACCCGAUGUGUCCGUAUUCUGAGUAAAUGUGACCUGUUAGCCUUAUGGCUUCCAGCUCCCCUCAGCCAUACAAGCUUGGAUGUCAAUGCCUUGCUGGUAGCUGGACUAAAUAUUUGAUGUGUUGUGUCAUAUGUGUUCACGGUAGUUUGUACUGGGAGAUAAGCUGAGGUCAUAAAAAUACUGUGCCAACAGUUGCAGUUUCCCAGAUGCUGAAGAAAGAUACCACAAGGCUUUGCUCCACUCUCUGCAGUUUCUUUGCUACAGGUUUUGGAGAUCACAUUCACUGGAGAACACUAGAAGAUGGGAAGAAAGAGGCAGCAGCCAGGUAUGUUACUUACUUACGAAUACAGAAAAGAGGCUUUAAAAGUUCACCCAGAUUCCGUACCAGUGCUAACCAGUCCUAAAUUCAACCACAGAAAAUACAAAUUACUAACAAAGGUAUAGGAGACUGCUUAGAUCCUUACAGCUUAUUGGAGAAAUAAAAAAAUAUAUUUUUUCUUAACGUUGCUGAGGAAUCACCUGUGUUUAAUCACUUCAAUUAAAUGAUUGAGGCUCUGUCACGUCUCCAAAGUAAGAAGAGACCCACAAACUGAGACUUAAGGGCUACUCAGUCCCCUUGAACUCAUCAGUGCUCACUGCAUCUGUCAGCAUGGAUGUGCCCAUAUUGAUGUGAGAACUCGAUGUGAGAUAUUUUGUUACUAAGGAACAAACUGAUAUGUCAUUAAAGUAGAACCUUUUAUUGGUUGAAACACUGUCUCUGUGAAAAGAUUUAAAGAAAGUCAUUUUUAUGUUUCUCUCAGAAUAUUAUCGUUUUUGUGUUAAAACAUGGGAAAUGAAGCUGUCUAUCAGUU